rnacentral:rRNA from 1 species
UACGUAGGGGGCAAGCGUUGUCCGGAAUCAUUGGGCGUAAAGGGCGCGUAGGCGGCCUGAUCAGUCGGGGGUGAAAGCCUGUGGCUCAACCACAGAAUGGCCUUCGAUACUGUCAGGCUUGAGACCGGAAGAGGUAAGUGGAACUGCGAGUGUAGAGGUGAAAUUCGUAGAUAUUCGCAAGAACACCAGUGGCGAAGGCGGCUUACUGGUCCGGAUCUGACGCUGAGGCGCGAAAGCGUGGGGAGCAAACAGG